CCCUUAGAUGUCCUGGGCCGCACGCGCGCUACACUGACAUGUUCAACAAGCCUCCUAGUUCGACAGGAUUUGGGAAAUCUUUGAACGCAUGUCGUGAUAGGGAUAGAUCAUUGCAAUUAUUGAUCUUGAACGAGGAAUUCCUAGUAAACGCGAGUCAUCAGCUCGCAUUGAUUACGUCCCUGCCCUUUGUACACACCGCCCGUCGCUACUACCGAUUGAAUGGCUUAGUGAGCCUUUGGGAUUGGCAGCUUGUACCGGCAACGGUAGCAGGCCGCUGAAAACUUAGGCAAACUUGGUCAUUUAGAGGAAGUAAAAGUCGUAACA
rnacentral:rRNA from 1 species